rnacentral:rRNA from 1 species
UACGUAGGCGGAAAAUUAAGUCAGUAGUGAAAUCCUGCAGCUUAACUGUAGAACUGUUAUUGAUACUGGUUUUCUUGAAUAUAGUUGAGGUAGGCGGAAUGUGUAAUGUAGCGGUGAAAUGCUUAGAUAUUACACAGAACACCGAUUGCGAAGGCAGCUUACUAAGCUAUGAUUGACGCUGAGGUACGAAAGCGUGGGGACUAACAGGAUUAGAUACCCUGGUAGUCC